rnacentral:rRNA from 1 species
GACGUGACUUCAGAGUUUGAUCCUGGCUCAGGAUGAACGCUGGCGGCGUGCCUAACACAUGCAAGUCGAACGAAGCACUUCGAUUUCCUCGGAAUGAAAAAGUGACUGAGUGGCGGACGGGUGAGUAACGCGUGGGUAACCUGCCUCAUACAGGGGGAUAACAGUUAGAAAUGACUGCUAAUACCGCAUAAGCGCACAGUACCGCAUGGUACAGUGUGAAAAACUCCGGUGGUAUGAGAUGGACCCGCGUCUGAUUAGCUAGUUGGUAAGGUAACGGCUUACCAAGGCGACGAUCAGUAGCCGGCCUGAGAGGGUGAUCGGCCACAUUGGGACUGAGACACGGCCCAA